GACGAACGCUGGCGGCGCGCCUAACACAUGCAAGUCGAACGAGCGAGAGAGAGCUUGCUUUCUCAAGCGAGUGGCGAACGGGUGAGUAACGCGUGAGGAACCUGCCUCAGAGAGGGGGACAACAGCUGGAAACGACUGCUAAUACCGCAUAGGACCACAGGACGGCAUCGACCAGAGGGAAAAGGAGCAAUCCGCCAUGAGAUGGCCCCGCGUCCGAGUAGAUAGUUGGUGAGGUAACGGCCCACCAAGGCAACGAUCGGUAGCCGAACUGCGAGGUUGAACGGCCACGUGGGGACUAAGACACGGCCCAGACCCCUACGGGAGGCAGAAGUGGGGAACAUUGCGCACCGCGGCAAGCCCUGAUGCAUCGGCGUGGGGUGGAGGAAUAAGGUCUUCGGAUUGGAAGCUCCUGUUGUUCAGGAAGAUAAUGACGGUACUCAACAAAGAAGUGACGGCUAACUACGUG
rnacentral:rRNA from 1 species